GCGCUCAUGCAGCAGCAUAUAGAAAUCGGGAUGAUACAGAGAAGAUCAGCAUGGCCCCUGAACAAGGAUGACACAAAUUUGUGGAAUAUUCAUAUUAUGU
rnacentral:snRNA from 1 species